UACGAAGGGGGCUAGCGUUGUUCGGAAUGACUGGGCGUAAAGGGCGCGUAGGCGGAUGACACAGUCAGAUGUGAAAUUCCCGGGCUUAACCUGGGGGCUGCAUUUGAUACGUGUUGUCUAGAGUGAGGAAGAGGGUUGUGGAAUUCCCAGUGUAGAGGUGAAAUUCGUAGAUAUUGGGAAGAACACCGGUGGCGAAGGCGGCAACCUGGUCCUUGACUGACGCUGAGGCGCGAAAGCGUGGGGAGCAAACAGG
rnacentral:rRNA from 1 species